UAGAGAUGCUGUGGCGGAGAACCUCGGAUAAACCCUAAUGCAAUUUAAUUCCAAGCACCUUCUCCUUUAAUUCAUCUUCGUUCAUCCAUUCUUGUUGUCUAUUUGAUCAUCAACUUCUCGCGUUUAAUAUCGCGGUAUUGAUUAUCUAAAUGGUGCCACGGAGAACGACAAGGCACAGUCGAUCCACGAUGGUUCGGCCAGUGACCUUCUCCUCCUUUGCUCGAACAGUUGCUAAUCUUGCCACAGCUUACAUAAGCAAGCGUCAAAAGCCUGACUUGAAGCUACAAAGACCUUCUCCUAGUGCACCAGGUAUUAUUAUCUGAGUGUAGUCUCUUGAUCAAUAUGAGAUUUGCUAUCUGUUUCAUAUAGUUUGAUGUUGUUGUGUCUAGGAGAUGGAUUUGUUGAGCAAUCCUUGGAAGAGAAGAGUGAAAGGUCUGAGUCUUCUGAGGAAGAAGAGCUUGAAGUAAGCUAUUUAUUUUGGUGGAAGGCGUGGAAAUAGUAGCUCAAAUUCUAGCUAGUCUCUUUAUGUCACUGCAGUCUGUAUUUUAUGGGAUUUGAUGUUUAUGUUUUGAAGGGAGUUAUCCAAGCAGAUUUUGUCUUCUUUGAUCCUAUACCUGAUGAUUUUCAUGGAGUGAAGAUGUUGCUGCAAAAUUACCUUGAUGAUAAGCUGUGGGAUUUGAGUGGUUUUGUAGACUUGAUAUUGGGACAGACCACAGUGGGGACUGUUGUUAAAAUAGAAGAUGAUGAAGAUGAUGGACUGUUUUCUGUUGUUACAGUCCUUAACUUGGGGAGAUAUAAGGAUCAUAAAUGUAUCAUGGAGAUCAAGG
rnacentral:misc_RNA from 1 species